rnacentral:tmRNA from 1 species
GGGGAUGAUUGGCUUCGAAAGGCGGUUGAUUCUUUUUGCUUCAUGCAGAGGACGAUAUGUUACCUCUCAAAUCAUCAUAUCGCUUCAGUAAGUGCAAACUUAUUGUCAAAGACAAGAACUGCAGUCGCCUCCCUUUUUGGGAACGACCUCGUUCUUGCUCCUUCCUACGCCUAAUAGUGGCGCAGGCAUCCGUCGGCUGACGCUCCGUAGGCCGGACGCGGGUGUUAUAUCCGGGGCUUGACUCCAACCGCCCGAUUGGAGUGACACAAACAGGGCACACGCAUGCUUUGGAUUUCGUUCCGUUCCACCAAGGCAUGCACACAAACGGAACUACGCAUGUAAACGCACCAAGAUGACCCCCCUUCACGUGGGUUCAAUUCCCACCAUCUCCACUG